GACGAACGCUGGCGGCGUGCUUAACACAUGCAAGUCGAACGGUGAAGCGCCUUCCUUUUUGGUGGGUGUGGAUGAGUGGCGAACGGGUGAGUAACACGUGAGUAACCUGCCCCCUUCUUCUGGAUAACCGCAUGAAAGUGUGGCUAAUACGGGAUAUUCUGGGUCUGUCGCAUGAUGGGUCUGGGAAAGAUAUUGUUUCGGUGGGGGAUGGGCUCGCGGCCUAUCAGCUUGUUGGUGGGGUGAUGGCCUACCAAGGCGGUGACGGGUAGCCGGCCUGAGAGGGUGGACGGUCACACUGGGACUGAGACACGGCCCAGACUCCUACGGGAGGCAGCAGUGGGGAAUAGUGCACAAUGGGCGCAAGCCUGAUGCAGCGACGCCGCGUGAGGGAUGGAGGCCUUCGGGUUGUGAACCUCUUUCGCCAGUGAAGCAGGCCUGCCUCGUUUGUGGGUGGGUUGACGGCAGCUGGAUAAGAAGCGCCGGCUAACUACGUG
rnacentral:rRNA from 1 species